rnacentral:piRNA from 1 species
UAUACGGGUUUGGCACCACAGGGUGGA